rnacentral:tRNA from 1 species
AAAAGUAUAGUAUAAUUAUUACAUUUCAUUUACACUGAAAAAAUAUUCCAAUGAGUUACUUUUA